rnacentral:rRNA from 1 species
CCUACGGGAGGCUGCAGUGAGGAAUAUUGGUCAAUGGGCGAGAGCCUGAACCAGCCAAGUCGCGUGAGGGAUGACGGUCCUAUGGAUUGUAAACCUCUUUUGUCGGGGAACAAAGGCGUCCACGUGUGGACUGAUGAGUGUACCCGACGAAAAAGCAUCGGCUAACUCCGCUCCAGCAGCCGCGGUAAUACGGAGGAUGCGAGCGUUAUCCGGAUUUAGUGGGUUUAAAGGGUGCGUAGGCUGACAGUUUAGUCAGCGGUAAAAAUGCGGUGCUCAACGCCGUACCGCCGUUGAAACUGGCAGACGUGAGUGGGCGAGAAGUAUGCGGAAUGCGUGGUGGAGCGGUGAAAUGCAUAGAUAUCACGCAGAACUCCGAUUGCGAAGGCAGCAUACCGGCGCCCUACUGACGCUGAGGCACGAAAGCGUGGGUAUCGAACAGGAUUAGAUACCCUUGUAGUC